rnacentral:rRNA from 1 species
UACGGAGGAUGCAAGCGUUAUCCGGAAUGAUUGGGCGUAAAGCGUCCGCAGGUGGCUAUGUAAGUCUGCUGUUAAAGAGUGAGGCUCAACCUCAUAAGAGCAGUGGAAACUACAUGGCUAGAGUGCGUUCGGGGCAGAGGGAAUUCCUGGUGUAGCGGUGAAAUGCGUAGAGAUCAGGAAGAACACCGGUGGCGAAAGCGCUCUGCUAGGCCGCAACUGACACUCAUGGACGAAAGCUAGGGGAGCGAACGGG